rnacentral:snoRNA from 1 species
CUAACAUGGGCAUCCAGCGAGGUGGCUCUCGCUUGGCUCUGCCCAAGUGGUGUGCGGGAGCUUAGCUCUGCAUGGAGCUGUGAGGUAUAGUCCCCUUCCACAAUGUUGGAGAGAAAGCUUUCCCUCCCUCCCAGCCCAAAAGGCUGGUGCGCGGGGAAUCGUCCUGUAUAUUCCUAUAACUUGUCAGCGUUUAUCAUCACUGAUAAGACAAACCAUGCAGGACACAUUU